CUAAAGGCUGUGAGCAAAUGAAGUAGUGGCAGAUAAUGCAGCAAAGAGAGGCUGUGGUUGGUGAAAACAGCGGUGCACCUGCUACGAAGUUACCUUUGUGAGCUGUGUUGCCGAACCCUUGGUGCGGUUUUUCUUGCACUUUUUAAGUAGGCAAUGUCGGGUAAGCCCGUUACAGCGGUGAGUAUUGUUGCUCUCUAAGGCUGCACAGGCAGUAAAUAGAGGUGGUACCACGGAUUAGUCAAUUCGUCCUCUGU
rnacentral:ncRNA from 1 species